UUUGGUGGUGAUGAGAUACGGUCUGACCUGUAGUAACUUCUAGAGUUUGGUGUUGAUGAGAUACGGUCUGACCUGUAAUACGGUCUGACCUGUAGUAACCUCUAGAGUUUGGUGUUAACGGGUUACCCCAAUGCAUCCCAAAUGGCACCCUAUUCCCUUGAUGGUGCACUACUUGUGUGCACUACGUAGGGAAUAGGGUGCCAUCGUUGACACCACCAUGGUCUCUCUCUAUCUCUUCCUAGAAGACGGAUGCUUCAGUUAAGCCCUAAGGCAUUCAGCAGGUGAAAGGUUCCAAACUGAACCCAGCAGCACCUAGCACUCAACUUGCUUCAAUCGACUUGCUUCAACGGGGCAAUUUAAGGUGUUAAGUUAACUGCCUUUUUUUUAAUACCAGACGCCAAGUACAUGGAGUCAAACAUACUUUGACAUUGACGCACAAGUACAAAGUCCACAACUAGUGAAUCUCCUGAAAAGAGAGAGGAGAUUGAAAACUAUUGAAUCUCCUGAAAAGACAGAGAGGAGAUUGAAAACUAUUGAAUCUCCUGAAAGAGAGAGAGGAGAUUGAAAACUAUUGAAUCUCCUGAAAAGAGAGAGAGGAGAUUGAAAACUAUUGAAUCUCCUGAAAAGACAGAGAGGAGAUUGAAAACUAUUGAAUCUCCUGAAAAGAGAGAGAGGAGAUUGAAAACUAUUGAAUCUCCUGAAAAGACAGAGAGGAGAUUGAAAACUAUUGAAUCUCCUGAAAAGAGAGAGGAGAUUGAAAACUAUUGAAUCUCCUGAAAAGAGAGAGAGGAGAUUGAAAACUAUUGAAUCUCCUGAAAAGACAGAGAGGAGAUUGAAAACUAUUGAAUCUCCUGAAAAGAGAGAGAGGAGAUUGAAAACUAUUGAAUCUCCUGAAAAGAGAGAGAGGAGAUUGAAAACUAUUGAAAACUCUCUGGAACUAAUUUUAGUCUAUGCAAACAGUGUUUGGGAUUCCAGACUAGAGGAGCCCCUCAAAUGGCAUCAUAUUCCCUACGUAGUGCACUACUUUAGACCAGGGUCUAUAGGGUAGUAGUGCACUACUUUAGACCAGGGUCUAUAGGGUAGUAGUGCACUACUUUAGACCAGGGUCUAUAGGGUAGUAGUGCACUACUUUAGACCAGGGUGCAUACAGCUCAGCUCAAAAGCAGUGCACUACAUAGGGAAUAGGGUACCGUUAGGAACGAAGCCUAGGAAUGCUCAUGUUGUUUAUUGCCUUUUUAUAGCCUAGAUAGUGAGGACUGAGGUUUUGCACUAGAAUCUCUCUGCGGGGUUUUUAAUGCAGAGGGGUAAGUAACUACGCCACUAAUAUCAACGGAUGCUUCCUGCCCAUCUGCCUAUAAACAGCACUGCCAAUCAUUAUGAAAUGAUGAGUCCACCGAGUUAAUUCACUAAUUCCCAGACAGUACUUUCAGAAUGGGAUCUACUUCCUCAUCUAAUUCACUGUGUCCCAGACAGUACUUUCAGAAUGGGAUCCACUUCCUCAUCUAAUUCACUGUGUCCCAGACAGUACUUUCAGAAUGGGAUCCACUUCCUCAUCUAAUUCACUGUGUCCCAGACAGUACUUUCAGAAUGGGAUCCACUUCCUCAUCUAAUUCACUGUGUCCCAGACAGUACUUUCAGAAUGGGAUCCACUUCUCAUCUAAUUCACUGUGUCCCAGACAGUACUUUCGUAAUGGGGGAUCCACUUCCUCAUCUAAUUCACUGUGUCCCAGACAGUACUUUCAGAAUGGGAUCCACUUCCUCAUCUAAUUCACUGUGUCCCAGACAGUACUUUCAGAAUGGAUCCACUUCCUCAUCUAAUUCACUGUGUCCCAGACAGUACUUUCAGAAUGGGGGAUCCACUUCAUAAUCUAAUUCACUGUGUCCUAGACAGUACUUUCAGAAUGGGAUCUACUUCCUCAUCUAAUUCACUGUGUCCCAGACAGUACUUUCAGAAUGGAUCCACUUCCUCAUCUAAUUCACUGUGUCCCAGACAGUACUUUCAGAAUGGAUCCACUUCCUCAUCUAAUUCACUGUGUCCCAGACAGUACUUUCAGAAUGGAUCCACUUCCUCAUCUAAUUCAUGGUGUCCCAGACAGUACUUUCAGAAUGGGAUCCACUUCUCAUCUAAUUCACUGUGUCCCAGACAGUACUGUCUGAAUGGCUCCACUUCUCAUCUGUGGGAAUAACUAGCUAUACUGUUACAGAUGUGACAGACCAUGCAUGUGUUUUAAAGGUCUGACACAGAGCCAUACUUAGACCCAGGCUAAAUAUAUGGUGUCUGGUUCUACAAAUGCUGUCUAUUUCUGGUCUCACAGACAGUCACUGUCAGUCCCUAGUCCCUCCUCCCACAGACAGUCACUAUGUGUCCCUAGUCCCCUCCUCCACAGACAACAGUCACUGUGUGUCCCUAGUCCCUCCUCCUCUACAGACAGUCACUGUGGGUUCCUAGUCCCUCGUUCCUCUACAGACAGUCACUGUGUGUCCCUAGUCCCUCGUUCCACUACAGACAGUCACUGUGUGUCCCUAGUCCCUCCUCCUCUACAGACAUUCACUGUGUGUCCCUAGUCCCUCCUCCUCUACAGACAGUCACUAUGUGUCCCUAGUUCCUCGUUCCUCUGCAUUCCUCUGCAUACUGUGUAGUUCACCAGGACUUCUCCUGAAAGGUCUGGGUCUGCUGUUUCACACACACUGGGUGUGUUCCAGGUGGUCUGUUUUGCAGUCAUGCUGCACAUCUCAGAAGAUUUCAAUAUGUAAUAUUUAUGAGCUGCCUGAGAUGUUAAAAAAACCUCUCCAGGAACGCACCCACACCUAAUACUGUAAACAUGUCUGUGUGUUUUCUGCAGUUUCCUUCCUCAAUGCUAAUACUGUAAACAUGUCUGUGUGUUUUCUGCAGUUUCCUUCCUCAAUGCUAAUACUGUAAACAUGUCUGUCUGUUUUCUACAGUUUCCUUCCUCAAUGCUAAUACUGUAAACAUGUACUGUGUGUUUUCUGCAGUUUCCUUCCAGCCCUACCACAGUGAGGCACGUUGUUAGCUCAACACAACAAUGUAAAUAUUGUGUAACGUAAAAGUGUCAGGGAUUCACGGUAAACAUUCCUCUGACGCAUUGUGAUGCAUGCUAUACAUACGUACUGUAACUAGGGUGUAUUUUUGGUGUACUUUUCUGUUUUGUUAUAUAAUAUGAAAUGUAUGAGGAUAACAAUAAUAGCUUAUUAAAUAUAAUUCUGAGGAACAAAAGUGACAAUUUAUAUUUUCUACAUUUUUUGUGUUUGUUUAUGUGUGCAUAGAGGUAUCUCUACUAUCAUCAGUGGUAUCUCUACU
ensembl:lncRNA